GAUGAAGUUUCCUUCGGGAAAUGGAUUAGCGGCGGACGGGUGAGUAACACGGGGGUGAGCUGCCUCAUAGUGGGGGAUAGCCUUCCGAAAGGGAGAUUAAUACCGCAUAACAUCAUUAGAUGGCAUCAUUUAGUGAUCAAAGGAUUUAUUCGCUAUGAGAUGGACCCGCGUCGCAUUAUCUAGUUGGUAGGGUAAUGGCUUACCAAGGCGACGAUGCGUAGCCGACCUGAGAGGGUGAUCGGCCACGUUGGGACUGACACACGGCCCACACUCCUACGGGAGGCAUCGGUGGGGAAUAUUGCACAAUGGGGGAAACCCUGGUGCAGCAACGCCGCGUGAGUGAUGACGGUCUUCGGAUUGUAAAGCUCUGUCUUUGGGGACGAUAAUGACGGUACCCAAGGAGGAAGCCACGGCUAACUAC
rnacentral:rRNA from 1 species